AGAGUUUGAUCCUGGCUCAGGAUGAACGCUAGCGGCAGGCUUAACACAUGCAAGUCGAGGGGCAGCAUAAUGGAUAGCAAUAUCUAUGGUGGCGACCGGCGCACGGGUGCGUAACGCGUAUGCAACCUACCUUUAACAGGGGGAUAACACUGAGAAAUUGGUACUAAUACCCCAUAAUAUCAUAGAAGGCAUCUUUUAUGGUUGAAAAUUCCGAUGGUUAGAGAUGGGCAUGCGUUGUAUUAGCUAGUUGGUGGGGUAACGGCUCACCAAGGCGACGAUACAUAGCCGACCUGAGAGGGUGAUCGGCCACACUGGGACUGAGACACGGCCCAGACUCCUACGGGAGGCAGCAGUAGGGAAUCUUCGGCAAUGGGGGCAACCCUGACCGAGCAACGCCGCGUGAGUGAAGAAGGUUUUCGGAUCGUAAAGCUCUGUUGUAAGUCAAGAACGAGUGUGAGAGUGGAAAGUUCACACUGUGACGGUAGCUUACCAGAAAGGGACGGCUAACUACGUGCCAGCAGCCGCGGUAAUACGUAGGUCCCGAGCGUUGUCCGGAUUUAUUGGGCGUAAAGCGAGCGCAGGCGGUUUGAUAAGUCUGAAGUUAAAGGCUGUGGCUCAACCAUAGUUCGCUUUGGAAACUGUCAAACUUGAGUGCAGAAGGGGAGAGUGGAAUUCCAUGUGUAGCGGUGAAAUGCGUAGAUAUAUGGAGGAACACCGGUGGCGAAAGCGGCUCUCUGGUCUGUAACUGACGCUGAGGCUCGAAAGCGUGGGGAGCGAACAGGAUUAGAUACCCUGGUAGUCCACGCCGUAAACGAUGAGUGCUAGGUGU
rnacentral:rRNA from 1 species